GUGCUCUCUUCAGGAGCACAUAUACUAAAAUUGGAACAAUAGAGAGAAUAUUAGUAAGGCCCAUACACAAGAAUGAGAUCCAAAUUUGUGAAACAUUCCAUUUUUUU
rnacentral:snRNA from 1 species